rnacentral:rRNA from 1 species
ACGAACGCUGGCGGCGUGCUUAACACAUGCAAGUCGAACGGAAAGGCCCUGCUUUUGUGGGGUGCUCGAGUGGCGAACGGGUGAGUAACACGUGAGUAACCUGCCCUUGACUUUGGGAUAACUUCGGAAACUGGGGCUAAUACCGGAUAGGAGCUCCUGCUGCAUGGUGGGGGUUGGAAAGUUUCGGCGGUUGGGGAUGGACUCGCGGCUUAUCAGCUUGUUGGUGGGGGAGUGGCUUACCAAGGCUUUGACGGGUAGCCGGCCUGAGAGGGUGACCGGCCACAUUGGGACUGAGAUACGGCCCAGACUCCUACGGGAGGCAGCAGUGGGGAAUAUUGCACAAUGGGCGGAAGCCCGAUGCAGCAACGCCGCGUGCGGGAUGACGGCCUUCGGGUUGUAAACCGCCUUCGCCUGUGACGAAGCGUGAGUGACGGUAAUGGGUAAAGAAGCACCGGCUAACUACGUG